CCCGACUGCUAUUUGGGUGAGGAUAGGCCAUGCGAGUCGAAUGGGAUACCUAAAUUUCCCAUGGCGAACUGCUCAGUAACGCAUGAUCAACUUAACCUAUUGAGAAAGAUAACCUCGGGAAACUGAGGAUAAUAUUUCAUAGUUGAAUUGGCUUGGAAAAGUUUUUCAACAAAAGGGAUAGGGAAAAUGGUCUCUGUCCGCUAUAGGAUAGGAUCGUGUUCGAUUAUGGUAGUUGGUGAGGUAACGGCUCACCAAGCCGAUAAUCGAUAGGGGCCGUGAGAGUGGGAGCCCCGAGAUGGGUACUGAGACAACGACCCAGGCCUUACGAGGCGCAGCAGGUACGAAACCUCCACAAUACACGAAAGUGUGAUGGGGUUACCCAAAGUGUUCAUUAUUGAACUGUGGUAGGAGAGUAAUGUCCCCUACUAGAAGGGAGAGGGCAAGGCUGGUGCCAGCCGCCGCGGUAAAACCAGCUCUUCAGGUGGUCGGGAUAAUAUUGGGCUUAAAGUGUCCGUAGCCGGUUUAGUAAGUUCCUGGUAAAAUCGGGUAGCUUAACUAUCUAUAUGCUAGGAAUACUGCUAUACUAGAGGGCGGGAGAGGUCUGAGGUACUACAGGGGCAGGGGUGAAAUCUUAUAAUCCUUGUAGGACCACCAGUGGCGAAGGCGUCAGACUGGAACGCGCCUGACGGUGAGGGACGAAAGCCAGGGGAGCGAACCGGAUUAGAUACCCGGGUAGUCCUGGCCGUAAACGAUGCAUACUAGGUGAUGGCACGGCCAUGAGCCGUGUCAGUGCCGUAGGGAAACCGUUAAGUGUGCCGCCUGGGAAGUACGGUCGCAAGGCUAAAACUUAAAGAAUUGGCGGGGGAGCACCACAAGGGGUGAAGCCUGCGGUUCA
rnacentral:rRNA from 1 species